rnacentral:rRNA from 1 species
UCGGGAAUUUUGCGCAAUGGACGAAAGUCUGACGCAGCAACGCCGCGUGAGGGAUGACGGCCUUCGGGUUGUAAACCUCUUUUGUCAGGGAAGAUGAUGACGGUACCUGGCGAAUAAGCCACGGCUAACUACGUGCCAGCAGCCGCGGUAAUACGUAGGUGGCAAGCGUUGUCCGGAUUUACUGGGCGUAAAGAGCGCGCAGGCGGUCGUUCAAGUCGCGUGUGAAAGCCCCCGGCUCAACUGGGGAGGUCACGCGAUACUGAUCGACUCGAAGGCAGGAGAGGGUAGUGGAAUUCCCGGUGUAGUGGUGAAAUGCGUAGAUAGUCGGGAGGACACCAGUGGCGAAGGCGACUACCUGGCCUGUUCUUGACGCUGAGGCGCGAAGGCUAGGGGAGCGAAACGGGAUUAGAUACCCCGGUAGUCCUAGCCGUAAACGAUGGACACGUAGGUGUUGGUGGUAU